GUACCAUAUAUCUGUCUAGUUGUCUGAUUUUCUGCAGUGUGGAUUGACACUCCCCUGUAUGCUUUAUUUCCUUAGAGUUAGUAACGAUGCACCGAUUCCCCUUUUCCUUGAAAGUCUCAGGCCAUUCCAAGGUACCUAAUGGGUUCUAGCUCACUGCAGAAUCCGGGGCCUGUUACUUACAUUUUUCCUUUUGUUGUUGAACAAGUAAUUGCUUCUCUGUCUCCACUCUGGAGUCGUUUGUCUUGGUGUACUUUCUCUGUUACUUCCGGAGAAAACGUGCGUGUCCUUACAUAUUAUAUUUCUCACUCCGAGCGGCAGAGGUACUGGGAGCUGUUGAAUUAAAGUGAUAUUUCCCAAAGCAUGCAGGGCCUCUGGGCCAUAGGUGUGACACCUGGGCAUGGCUCAGCUGACUUUGGUAGGUGCUGGGUGACACCUGGGCAGGGCUCAGCUGACUUUGGUAGGUGCUGGGUGACACCUGGGCAGGGCUCAGCUGACUUUGGUAGGUGCUGGGUGACACCUGGGCAUGGCUCAGCUGACUUUGGUAGGUGCUGGGUGACACCUGGGCAGGGCUCAGCUGACUUUGGUAGGUGCUCUGCUCGUUUUUUCCUGGGAGUUUUUGGGUCCUCUAUUUACUCUUCUUGGCUUUCAACUUUUUGAUAAUUUUGUAAUUUCAGGAGGAAUCUGUCCCAUGCCCCAUGCCAGAUUCUUUCCCCUCCUUUCAGCCCCAGGGCUCUGGUCCAGACCCAUUUUUAUUCAGUAUUUCCUCCCGUUUUGCCCACUCAAACACUGAAAUCUGUUCUCAGAUUGUUGUAAUUGCUCCUGACACUCUGAGUCGACUUGGAUUUAACAAGGAGAGAUUAAGCAUACUACUCACAUUUGAAAGUCUCACUGAGCAUUUUCAUACUGUUUUAUAUGAUCAAGUCAGAAAACAUUAGAAAACAGUCUCCAGUCUGUUAUUAGCUUUCUUAUUAUUUGAGUUAUAUAGAUGCUUUAGAAAAGCAACUUUAUGAAUACCAAACAAUAUCAUAAAGUCACAUAGAUCAAAUAUUAAAAACAAAUUCAAAUUUCCACAAAGUGUUCAAACAACAAAAUAAGUUCUAUGUGGACAGAAGCAGCUUUCCCCAGUAAGGUAUAUAUAAAUAUUCACUCAAUUAAUUUGAGAAUGAGAAAGUCUUCUAUCGCUUCUCGGCCUUUUGGCUAAGAUCAAGUGGAGAAAGUCUUCUAAGCAACGACAUCUUGCAGUCAUAUUAAGAGGGAAUGGAAAGAUUUUAGUACAUGAAAACUAAACAUUUUUCUUUUUUAGAUUUUAAUCUGAUAUUUAUUGUAUUUGUUUUGUGUGUGUUUCUGUUUGAUGUCUUGGUCUGAGUAUGCAUACGCCAAACAGUACCUGUGUAAGUCAGAGGGCAACACAUGGGAGUCAGGAAUCUACCAUGUGGGAUCCAGGAUUACAGUUGUUGGGUCACCACACACUGGGGCUUUGGGCCUUUAUUCCCCCUAAAGCUUUUUUCCUAAAAAAUAAAAGUAUGAGGACAACAAAAGUAUAAACUUCAUUAGAACUAUUAGCGACAAAUAUAGCAUUGGGGUAAUAGCCUGAGUGCCUAAGGAAUUCCUGGAAAUGUGUUAGGAAACCAUGAGGAUCUGUAGAAUAAGAACGGACAUAGAGAGUUUGCAAAGCUGAAAAAUGUAACCAGAAACUUGUAAAAUGCCCCCACUAAUAACCAGGAGGUUGGAAACUAAGUAACACACCACCGCUUGACUGAACAAUGGGUGGACUGUAAAUACUCACUCCCCACAGAAGUGGUGGGAGGUGAGUGCUCUCUCACAUACUGAUAAGAGAAGGCUCUGGCAGAGCUGAGCAAUGAGAGUGCUUGCUGCUCUUCCAGAGGACCAAACUUGGGAUCCCAGCAGCCAUGCCACUCAACUGCUUAUAAUCCAGCCCCUGGGAAUCCACUGCCCUCUUUUGGUUUUCAUGGGGACACACACACCUGCGCAUAAACACACACACACAACACACACACACACAUGCUGUCAUGAACUAUGAAUCACAGUUUGGGCUAUUGUGACAAAAUCCAUAGGUUGGUGUCUUAGUUAAGGUUUUAUGGUUGUGAAGAGACACUGUGACCAACGGAUCUCUUAGAAAGGGCAACAUUUCAUCAGGGCUGGCAUACAGUUGUAGAGGUUCAGCAUAUUAUCAUCCUGGCAGGAAGCAUGGCAGCUUAUAGGCAGAGGCAGGUGUAAUGCUGAAGGAGCCAAGAGUUCCACAUCUCAAUCUGAAGACAGCCGACAGCCAGGAGCAGACUCUAUGAUGCACUGGGCAGAUCCUGACUACAGGACCUUAAAGCCCACCCCCACACAGACACACUUCCUCCAACAAGGCCACGCCUACUCAAACAUCCUAAUAGUGCCACUUCCCAUGAGCCAAAGAUAUUCAAACCACCACAGCUGGGUAGCAUGUGCAGAGGUUUGGGUCCUAGAAGGGCUUCUAUCUUGUGCAACCUAGAGCUUUGAUGUCUUUCUCUCUUCAUUUUAACUGUUUUAAUAAUAAUGACAUUUUAUAAUUGCAUGUAUUUGAUUACAUAGCCUAUACAUGCCACAUGGAAUAAUUAACGCAAGUUAAGAUAUUUAUCAUCUAUACACUUACUACUCUGUGGUCAGCACAUUUGAAGCCUCUUGGCAGUUCUGUGAUGACAAUUUGCUCGCUCACUGUGCUAUGCAGUAGAUUUUCAUUUUUAAUCUUCACUCCAUUUCCUGAGCUUCUGGUAUGUGUCGCUGGCCAUCGCCCUUCACAUUCAGUCCGCACUCUGAAGCAACCAUUCUGGUUUGCACUCUGUGCUGAUGCAUCAUUGGUCUUAGAAAUGCGAUUGCAGAAGCUGUUUGUCUCUCUGUGCUUGGUUUACUUCACUUCACAUAAAGUUCUCCAGCUCCACUCCUCUUAUCACAAAUGACAAGGAGUCUUCCUAUAAGGUUGAGAUGCAGCCCAGUUUGUGUAUAUGUGUGUCACAUUUUCUUUAUUCAGUCGCCAAUUUAAGAACACUUAAUUUCUUUUUGAUUUUUCUACUAGGGCCCAAUAUAAAAUCUGUGAACAUUAGAGGAAGGCAUCUUUUUUUACAAACUGAUUUCAGAUUUUCUGAAUUCAAACACCCAGAAGAGUGGUAUAUCUGCAUGCACACGCGCGCACACACACACACACACACACACACACACACACACACACCAUGCAACUACUUUGGACUCCAAAUGAAUCCCUCACAAGUCCCAGUUGCAGACCUGUUGCUAUAGGACUUUGUGUUUUCCCUGCUAGCUGCAGGCUUCCUUUGCUUUUAUUUUUAUGCUCCGAUUUCUUCAUUUUGGAAAGGGAAUAUUUAUUCUAUGAUUUUCUAGAGGCUCACAGUUAAAGAGAUUGAUUGUCUUGAGUCUCAGGAUUGCUUUAGACCUUUUAAUAUUGUCUGGGCUGCUAAAGGUCACGGGGACUUUCAAGACAGACUAAUGCACUUUGAUUAUGAGUUGAAAAUGAGGCCUGGGGGAAAGGAGAGUGAUGCUGUGAUUUAAAGGGAUGUGGCUGGGUGUCAGGUUGGGCUGUAAUGUUUCAUCCUCAUGGUUAACCUGACUGGAUUUAGAAUCACCAUGGAGAAACAUUUCUGCACAUGUGUGGGGGAACAUAUCCAAAAUAUUUAACUGUCGAGGGAAAACCCAUAUACUACGGCAGGAUUUCUGUCCAAGAUUCACUGUUCUAAUUUCUGAUGACUACCAAGACUAGAAUUUGCAUCCAAGAUGCCAUUGGCUUUGCCUUUGACAUAAAACAUUUCACAAUAUUUCCACUUUGACUCUUGGUUCACAGAGUAGAUUUUCCAUGUUUAAGGAGGUUUUGUUUUUAUUUUUCAUUCUCCUUCAAUAUAGUACCAAUAAUUUAAAAAAUUAUCAGUAAGAAUGUCAUUACCAUAAUGCCUUAUAUUUUUACUGAAAUUUUCACAGGGUCAGUUCACUCUGAAGAAUAAGAAUUAUCUGUUUUUCAGUCCUUUAUCACAAAGCAAAUGCUUGGGUGAGGUUAGUAUAAACCUUGGUCCAUGUGCAAGCCCCUGUCCUCUCAGUACAAACCUGCUGUUUAAACUUUAGAGCAUCCAGCUUGGCUGGAGAUGGAGCUCAGCUGGUAAUGUGCUUGCUUAGCAUUAACAUAGCUCUGAGUUUUGCUCCCAACAUUGCAUUAAGCUAAGUGUGGUGACAGUGCCUGUGAUCUCAGCAUUUGCCGGGUACAGGCAAGAGGACCAGAAGGUCAAGGCCAUGCUCAGCUAUAUAGUGAGCUUGAGCCCAGGCUGGAAUCCACCACAUCCUGUCAGUUUACCUUAUAGGUUAAGAAAAGAAGACUGACUAAAGCUAAGUGACAGGGCCUGAAUAACAGCAGACCUAGAAUAAAGUCCUAUGCUUCCUGUGUGAAACUGGUACCUUUUCUCUUUAUUAUGCGUGGACAUGAAAAUCCAAUACUUUGCAUGGAUGUUUCAACACAAAAUUUUAUUUUUGUUUUGUGUUACUUAAAUUAUUAUUAAUUUAAUUAUUAAAAUAUCUAUAUUUAGCAUAUACUUAAAUGGUUGCUUAAAUUAUUUCCUGUGUCUUGCUAAAUACAUAAGUUAUGCUUUGACUUGAAGGCAGGAUGUGUAGUGGUCAUUAAGGGCAGACAGACGGGAUCACUAGGUAAUAGUCACCAUGCUGAAAUUUGUUGUUUUCCAGGAUAGAAAAUAUUGAACUGUUUGACAGAUGGAAACAAUUCUAUGGAUUGGCAAUAACAGAACAAUGAAAAU